UGGGGAAUAUUGCACAAUGGGCGGAAGCCUGAUGCAGCAACGCCGCGUGCGGGAUGACGGCCUUCGGGUUGUAAACCGCUUUCGCCUGUGACGAAGCGUGAGUGACGGUAAUGGGUAAAGAAGCACCGGCUAACUACGUGCCAGCAGCCGCGGUGAUACGUAGGGUGCGAGCGUUGUCCGGAUUUAUUGGGCGUAAAGGGCUCGUAGGUGGUUGAUCGCGUCGGAAGUGUAAUCUUGGGGCUUAACCCUGAGCGUGCUUUCGGUACGGGUUGACUUGAGGAAGGUAGGGGAGAAUGGAAUUCCUGGUGGAGCGGUGGAAUGCGCAGAUAUCAGGAGGAACACCAGUGGCGAAGGCGGUUCUCUGGGCCUUUCCUGACGCUGAGGAGCGAAAGCGUGGGGAGCGAACA
rnacentral:rRNA from 1 species